GCGCAGACGCGUGGCGGUGCGGUUAGUGGUUCGCCCAGCUGGGAGGGGUGGGCUGGUUUGUUGUGUGGAAUUGCGGUGCUUUUGGGAAGUCUGUCCGACCAAUCCUUAACAGUAAGAAUGCAUAUUCUGAAGCAUUCCUACCUUGAGGAUGAGUUCUGUGAGGGAAAAGGCUGUGUGUGUGCCCAGCACAACACCUGUGCAAAUCUCUUAAUAAAGAUUUCUAACUGCAGGUGCCUAACUCAAAAAAAAACAAUGUUUUGUGUUCCACUGCUCUCUUCAAAGCAGAAAUAACCUGCUCUAAUUCGCACUCCACCGCUGCAAGAUCUGCUUCUGAAAGGAUCGCCUUGAAAAACUGGUAUUUUUUCCCUAAGCUGCACCUUACAACAUUAAUCACCACUCAGCGGAGUUGCCCUUCCACGCUAAUAGCUCGUCGUGCCUCCUGUGACACUGCCGUUGUUCUGCAGUGACACAGAACAAAGAGAAAAUGAAGGAAGUGGGGACGAGGAGUUGGAGGAAACAGAAAGGCGGUGUGGUUUUGAAGUGUGCAACGCUACAAAGCAGAGCAGCGGAUCCAUGGGCACGCGUGGGAAAAGGAGUCGUGGUCAGAUGAGUCCAUCGGGGCUAUUCAGGAGAGAGGAUACCCUUCCCACUGACAUCUGUGAAUGACUCCAUGUGUGGACAGGGAAGCUCACUGCUGUGCAGAGGACCCACACCCCACAACAAAGUAAGUAGAAUAAUACAUCACUUCUACUUACAAAGGCAAAAUCCUCAUCUAAUGCAGUGAUGAAUGGCAUCUCUCCUCAGCUCCACAGUGCUGAGGUGCUGUAGAAAUAAUGCUGCACAUUUUUCAGAGAUUCCAAAGCGUUUUGCAGCCAUUCACUGACCAAGCUUCAGGUCGUCAGAGAGAUACGUUUCACCUGAGGGAUGAAAACUGUUUUGUUUCACACUUCAGUGCUACUGCCUCUGUGGAGAUGAUGCAUUAUCUCAGGGGCUGGAUGGGAAAGCCCUGAAUGAUUUCAGUACACUGACUUGGGCAGAGUGUAAUCACAGUACCAGGGGUCAACAAGCCUUAAAAGAAGUCACUCUGACUCUGCAGAAAUAGGAAGGAGGAGAAAAGAAGUCUUGACGACAAUUUGUUCUCCUGUAAAUGGUCUUGGACUUCAUCAAGGGGAGCUUUGAGUCUUGCUAAUUUUUUGCAAGGCUCUGGGUACAAAUUAAUUUACACUGACAAAUUAGUUUCUUUCCUCAACCACUCUUGGGAGCACAUAGAAAGUCCAUGCAUAUUUUUGUGAGCAGCUUGCCAUUCCUGUCAGUUAAAACAGUGAAGGCUGAAUGCCUUUACAAUGUGAAAGUGAAUUUUCUGCUGUGUUUUUAGGGCUAGGCUCUUGUUCCAAUGUAAGCAGAAAUACAUUGCUUAUUUCCCAUGGCUUUGCUUUAAUGGUGGCAAAGACAAGAUUCUGGACUUCAGUGCAAACUGCAGGGCUAUUCUCUAAAGUAAUUUGGCCCUAGGAUGUGAAAGAAUCAGAUCAUCUGUAAAAACAAAUCCCUUGACAAGAGAUCUCAAUUCUGUAUUAGCUUCUUAAAGACCUUCCCAGAGACUGAUGUAAAGACGGAAGCCUGGCCACGGCAAGAGCCAAAGCACAAGAAAUUCACUCCUGACACUUGCACUGAUUUCAGGAUAUUUGGAUCAGACUGUUACGGGCUAUCUUGCAGUAAUUCAAACUGCAAACAACACAGAACUUGAAUUUUCUGGUGUAUUUCAUUGUUCCUUGCUUUCUCACAGCAAUUCACAGGAGUUGAUCCCCAGACUUAGGGCUGCUGUGUACGUGGAGGUCAGCAGGAAUCUCGCUAUGAAUUUGCAACACUGCCACCACAGCCUCCAAGUGGUUCCAAACCUACACUGCAACAUUUCCCUUUUAUUUGGACUUUAAAGCUUUGCUUGACCAAUGCCUCAGCAGCCUCCCUGAAAAUUCUUCAGAAAAGAAAACUAGGAACGGCCCUUUUGUUAUUGUCCUUUUCCAAAAGGGGCCAAGGUAGUGACUUGUGAGCUCCCUCAUACAAAGAGAAGAGAGGGAAAAAAGAAAUAAUCUCCCUACCCCCCAUGUGCCAGAGAAAGCAGGCGCGCCGGAGAGGCUGUGCAUACGCUGCGAGAGCAAGGCUAGGGCAGGGGCUGACCUCCGGCUGCCUAUCCACCACAAAAGAGACCGUGGCAUUGACACAGCCUGACUGUUCUCCUUCGAAGGGGAUGGAUUGAGAGGAAGUGACCCUUACUGCCCCGCUUCUGCGGGGGACCUUGUGAAUAACUGUUGCUGUUCUCUUCCUUCCUUCCUCAGGCAGGUCAGAGAAAUUAACGCUGAGAACACUCUCUCUUAGUUGGUUGUUGGAGCAAGAAAAAACACUUUUUCCUUGAAAUGGAUGAGCAAGGACUGUAGAGGUGCUAACUUUUUGCUGUUUCUGUCUUGGGAAACAUGGAAUGAUUCCCAGACUGAUCCACAGUGUUCACAGAUGACAGGGGCUCAGGAGAGGUCGGAGGGAAUGACUCUUGGUCCAAUCUCACUCUCCACAGGGGCUAAGGAAAAAAGAGAGAGAGUGAAUGAACUCCAGGAGUAUGCGAUCGCAGGAAUUUUUGUCUUCUUCUGAAAAGGGGGCAUGUUUAUUUUGUAGCCCUGGUAAGAAAAAUAACCUGCCACUGAGAAAAAAGCACAUCCAUUUAAGGCAAGAAUGAGCUUCAACUCAGUGACCUAGAAAUCAAGGCAGAAAGUAAAAGCUAAUAAAUAAAUAAGUAAAUAAAAUAAUCAGGGAUGUUGCACAAAAUCAAGGGUUGCCCUCUGAAGAGGUGUAAUCAAGGCUCUGAGCCAUCAGUUAUAAUGGUUUUGAUUAAAGAAAGCUGUGCAGAAGUAAUCUACUUUAUUUUUAAAUGGCCUGAUUUUCCCUCACUACUCUCUUGGAGACGGAACCUAGAACAACUUGAAGGAGGACAUAAAAUGUUCAUUGAAAAUAGGCAGGUGAUAAGGUAUGCAUUCAAUAAAAAAACUCACAUCUUUUAAAGUUACUUUUGGGUUUCGAUGGCAUGCAUUAAAAUUGGCUGAAAAAAGCAAUGCCUUAGUAAAUAAAAACAUGAAAGACUUCCAAAUCCUGGCUGAUCAAGCCACGCGGUUCCUUUCUGCAAACUUGAUGCCCGUUCACAAUGUUGAGCUUCAUCACUUAUUUCCAGUGUAGCUGAAAUGCUAAAGUCUGAAAUUCUUCGGUUCCUGCAUAGGGUCAGACUUGUUGUCUUUGCUUGAUAAAUAUCGACAAAUAGUAGAAAAGAACCUCAGAAGAAUCACAGCUAGGGUGGGAGGGGAGGGAGGUUUACAUUUUCUUCCUCAAGAAGGUCAGAUGUUUAUUCAAGCCUAUCCAAGCCUUCUGAACAGAUUUUUGUGCUGGAAAUCUCAUGAGAGCAGCAUUUCCUGGAGAGUGGAAGGAAUAUCUGUCUUCGGAACAGCCAUCUGCAAAGUGUCAUGCUGGUUUUGAGUCUGACAGUGCAAAAGGCUUACUGAAAUACCAGGUGCAGAAAUGUAGCCUAUUUCUUAAAAGGUUGUUGGAGUAAAGUGAGCUGAGUUCUUGUGGCAGCAGAAAUAAAGCAUGCGGUAUUUACUGCCCAUUACUGCUCUGCGCAGCGCUGAAUUCCUCCCACGUGACUUCCAUGUUGGAAAAGGGAUGUCCUUGUACCUUUAUCUGGGUGAGUCAACUUGCAUUUUUAUACUCACGGUAUUUUUUAGAAGAACUUCAAAACGUUAUUAUCAGUGCUUGGCUCGUUCUCACUUUAUUUUUCAAGUUAGUUAAAAUAGCCUAUGUAAAAUAGUAGAGUAUGGAAAAACAUGGGGAGGCCAAAAUGUCUACCAAGUGAGCAACUUUGAUUCAGUAAGUUGCAUGUUUCAGUGGAUCCAAUCACUAUUCAAAACAGGUUGUCUGUCUUCACAUGGGAACGGCCUCAUGUUUUAGUCAGAGAUGCUUGUGUGCCUUUGGUUUCAUUUUGAUGCCUCUUUGUGCUUCAGGCUCGUGGCCACAUCUUUUCCACAUUCCAAGCUUGGCAUAAGGAUUACCAGUCACAGAAAGAAGUAUGUUUUCAUGAGAAACUCAUUGUGUAAUGUAGCCUUGUAAAAAGUGUCAAUAGCACAUUUACAGUGCAGCAGAGCCGCUUAAAGCUGAGUGUCUUAACACUCAUUUAUGGAAGAUGGCUGUAAAGAUGAGCACAGGCAAGAUUUAGAUGUCUUCUUUGCAAAGGUAAGCAAUAGCAUUAGGCAGUGUCUGCAGACACAGCUCCCUGUGCAAGGACUAGGAGCUGGAAAUACUGCUCUCUCUAUAAAAUACAGGAAUCCAGACAAACCUGCAAAUUCAGAAUUUUGUAGAGGCUUGGGAAUUAUCUUUGUCCACAACGAAUGGGCAAAAGCUUACUGCAUCCUCUAAUCCCAACUUAUAAUUAACAUUUGAUUUCCAAAAGCGUGGCAAUCUUGUGUUCUUUUCAGUAACAGCAUGUGUUCUAUAUUCAUAGGAAAUCAAAGUUGUACGCUGUUUACAUUUCAGCAGCAUGCUUCAGAAAAUAAAUUUAGCCAUUCAAGGCUGAGGUACUUUUAAAUAAUAUUAAUAAAAUGAGAAAGUCGUGGGAUGGAGGACCAAAUGGAGAUACAUUGUCACCUGCUGUAAUUACUUUCUUAAUAUGCCAUCUGUUGCCUUAGGUUCUAGGGUCAGGAAGUGAAAUAAGCAAUGGUCUAAAAUAAUGCUGAUUAAGCUGUUUGUGAGUAAUAAUAUGAUGGCACUCUUGGCCCUCGCCUGUACCUGCGUCAUUUGUUUCCCAGAGUGAGACUUGCUCUCCCCAAGUACCUGAGAGCAUCCUAGCCAGCAGCCCUGCAGGACUUUUCCUGCUGGGAGGAAUAAGGGCAGGGUCAGUGGUUGUAAGUUCUGACAGCUCCAUGCAGCCUUUCAGGCUGACACCAAGAACAUUUUCCCCUUUAAAUAAUCAGCUGUUGGAGAAUUAUCAUGGAAUUGUUCUUUGUUUACUCCACCCUGGUUGUUGGGUAGCUUGUGUGACUCCAUGCACCAAAGCAAAUGACUGAAAAAUCCAGAACAGGAAACUUUUGAUAUGUGAGCAGGAAACGCUUAUGUUCAUGUAGGCCUUCCUUUGCUUGACCAUGCAUGUGUAUUUUCUUAGGGGGAAAAGUACCCUGCUUUCCCGCUAAAGCCUGUUGUAUAUGAAUGUAUGCAAGUAAGAAGCAGAGCAGAGCAAAGUACAUUUGAAUCUAAAAAUGUAUGUGAAAAUACACAUGCAUGCAUUGCAUAUCAAGACUAUAUCCCACUGGCUCCCUUUGGCAUAAACAGUGUGUGCCUGAAUUGUCCUUUAGAAGAAAAGCUACUCCUUUAACCAUGUAGAGAAUGCUAGACAAAAUUGGAUUUAUGCAGAGGAAGGACAACUUCUUUGUCAUUUCCAGAUAGGAGUUGUUUACAUAGCAGUUGCAAGAUGUGCAAAGCAGAAAAAAAAGUCAUCCCUGAAGAUGCAGAGUCGCUUAAAGCAAACAAAUUCCUCACACAAAUUAUGACACUGAUGCAAUAUAAUGUACAGAACAAAUGCUCACACUCAUUAAAGAUGGAGAGGGAGCCUGGUGUGUCACCUGCAGAGCUAGGAGUUGCGUUCAGUUUACGGUUCUCCUCUUGGGUGGUGAGCUAGCCUGGUCAGUUCAUGUGAACUCUUCACAAGCUGCAUGGAUUUCCCUGGAUCUCACAAUACACAUAGGUGAAAUGCUGUGAAUCCACUGAAGUUUUGCCACUGAGGAAUAAAAAACACAUUUAGUUUGUUAUUGUUAAGUGAAAGAAGGCAAUAUAUGACUGAAAUCCGUGUCUUUGAAAUCGGCGAACUUCUUUCUCUUAAUUGUGGUGAGUCAUGAUUAUAAGUGUAUGUGCACGUGUGUAAAUGUUAUGGAAAAAAAACCAGAAAGAUGGCUGGAAUCAGACUUAUGGUUGUAUGUUAACUCUAUUCUAUGUAUGCUGAGAUACAGCUACAACCAUUAGAUUCGAUUGUACUUUUAUCCCCACAGUUGGCUGCCGUGCCUUUGGGGAGUGUUUUUGUGUCAAAAUACCACCAAGCAAAGUGUGUUUGCUGAAACUGCAACACCUUUUGUAUGUAUUAUGGCACAUACUAAAACAAGGGGAGGGGGAUUCAGUGACACAUACUGAUUAAUUGGUUAACAGGAGCUUCCUCAUACUCAUUACAGCUAUUCAGCCAUAUCACUUUCUAAAUCUGAAGACACAAUUUUAUCUGAAAGCCCAUAUGGCUUAUCAGGAAACUGUGCAUAUAGAAAAUUACCACAAUCCUGAACCAAGAUAAUAUUUAUCUAAUAGACCAUAACAGCUUGGAAAGAGUCAAUAUGGUCUCUCAUUUGAGCAUGCAUUUUGCUAUGCAUUCUACCUAUACAAACACAAGUCAUUUACAUUGCAAGCUAUCUGCCUGGUAAAUCCAUUUUUAGGUAAUUCUUGUAACAGUAGAUAUUUUUUUAUGAGAGAUUAUAAAGAUCGCUUGAAUGUAUUGUAGCUCAUGUAAUAAUUUGGAGAUGACUGAGUAUUUGCCUGAUAGAUUGUAAUGGACUCUGAUGGAGCUGUUGGCUUUUAUCAGCUAAACCCAUAUUUUGGUAUGUAAGCAAAUUUGAAAGAGCAAAAUAUUUGCCGAACAAUCAGCCAGACUGCUGUGUCUGACUUGCAGCACCCUGCCUGCUCUGAGUCACCAGGUUGACAGAGGUGCAGCCUGUCUGCUGCCAGGGCCCAGGUCUGGCACAAAUGAGCCAUUACUGUAAAUUCUGUCUCAUCCCUUCCGCUCAGAGAAAUCAAGAAGUAUGAAGAGCACCUUGCUGGCAGUUAAUGGCUGAGUUGGAAGUGAAGUCACCUAAUCCCACAGAGAACGUCCUCUAGUGAAGUCAUGCUUACUCUGAAAGUCCUGGGUGGGUCCUGGCUUUGUGUUUGGAGGUCCUUUGACAUUGGAGUUAAAUAGGUUCUUCCCCUCUCUCCAUGUUUUGUAUUCUGUUUUCCCUCUGCUGGAAAAUGAAGGAGAAUAAAGAGACGAAUGGCAAGAAAAGAGUCAGCAUUUGAAUGGAAAAGGAAAAUUAGCAAGAAGAUAUUGUCUAGGAUGUAUUUCAGUAUUUUCAUAUUGUUCAAAGUGAAAGAUCGGAGUGUUAUCGAAGAACAUAGAGGUUUUUGUGAUCCCUCCUGAGGAAGAACUGCUCAGAAUCACAGAGUGGCCCCUUGGCAUAAUCUCUGAGAGCCUACACUAACAGGGAUGAAAGUGUCUGUCCUUUUCACUGAAUGCAGAGGGACCCCACGUGGCUGGUGAAUACUAUGUGCCUGACUCCUACACCAUUCAAGUCACAGGAGUUGAAAACUGCUUUUUCACCAAAUCCUCUCACUGAAGAAAAAUGGAAAAACAGCCAGAGCACCCAAAGAAAGGACUUCAGCGUGUUCAGACCUCCUCACUGCCCUCCAGAGAUACUCUCAGAGAAGUCAGAGAUUUGGACCUGCUCAACAGUUGAAGAAUGUAUGUGCUUCUAUGUGACAGCAUUUGGGAGAGCCUGAUUCCUGGAAAGCAUAAACUAGGCCUCUAGUCAGCAGUAGUGACUCAUCAACAAGAGGCUCUGCCUUCAAGGAUGUCUCAGACUCCUUGGUGUCUGGCAGGCCAGCACACAAAUGCUGCAAACACCUUUAUUUGAACGUUUUUGUAAACUUUAUAGGUGGAUUUACUCCCUUCUACUGAAAAACUGGACCAGAACCCAAUCCCUCCACUGAUUAAAAAUCUUCCAAUUUACAGCUAAAUGUGUUUAAGAUCAGUGCGCACAGGGAAUCAAGUAAAACCAGUAGAGGCACUUUGCAAGGUGUAUGGCCAGGCUCUUAGUUACAAUGUUGAAAGCAAAUGCUCACAAAGAAGAAAAUGCAAAUGGCAGCUCUGCUCAGGAGUCACUAUCAACCUCCAGCACCUAGACACCCAGCAGCCUUUCCAGCUGCCAGAUCUGGGAAUCUAGAGCUCUCAGCCUCACUCUGCCUUCCAAACAACUCCCCAGUUUCCAUUUCUACUCCUGUGCCAGGUGUGGUACCAGCCUCAGGAGCUGAUGACCUGAUUUUCAUCCCAUCACUCCUCCCUGGACAUCCCUUGAGCAUCAGCAUCUUUUAAGUGAUACCUAAGAUGAUAUGAAGGUGAGGAGCACCAGAUCCAAGAAGUUCAGCAUGCAGGCGGGAAGGAGCAGGGCAGAAUGUGAAGGACAGGCUGUUUUCUGUCCUCCUGAGAGAGAAGGAGGAAAUAAGGAAAGAACUGGAGAGGGAACAGGAGGGGUGUGAGAACUGAAUGAUUUAUGUGCAUAUACACGUGAGAGAAUGAGAGGCAAAGUUUCAAACUGGUAAUUGGUUUGGGAUUUUUAUUGAUUAUAAAUUGAAAUUGCAAGCUGUAGUUAAUAACCUGAGCCUGAACCAUAGCUGCUAUACAGAUUUGCUAGCACAUCUCUAUAAAAUGUUGUGCAAGACAGCAGCUAGGCAUAAAUUCUACAAUGCUUAUGAUUUCCAGCAUGUUACUUUCCAUAAAGACCCUCCAUUGGUAUUAAUUAUGGUAGCAGACAUAGAUGUGAAAUGCUGUUUGGAAGCAUCUUUUCCAGGACUUUGUUUCCUGUGACCCAUUUCCCACACCUUCUUUUUGGUUCUCAAAUAAAAUAAGCGGAAGAGUCACAUGUGGAAGUGGGUUCAAAGACCUUUGAUGCUACUCUAAUUUCAGUGUUUAUUUCACUCUUUUUGCUUUGGAGAUCACGAUUUAUACCCACGUCAGAAAGUUUAGGUUUAGGUUUGGGUCUGUGUGAUUUGGGCUGAGUUGGCAAUGCAGCAUUUUGAGUUUAUGGAUAUGUUCUUUUUAUAUAAAAUGCUUUUGACUUGACAGGGCAGAAAAAGGGGGCAAAAGCACCCAAAUGCUUUUAUCUUCUCUUACACAUGACUUCAAAAAUAAUAUAAUAAUUUUCAUUUUAAAGUGCACUAAUGCCAUUUUAAUAAUUUAUUGAGCAACUAACAUAAUACAAAGGAAAGGAUGAAAUGGAAUAUUUGUGGCUGCGGAGACAGAUAUCAUUAUUCAAGAGUGGAAGCAUGUGAAAGGGUAAAGGGGGUUUAAAGAGAUACUCUUUUGUUGUACUUAACACUGAUAAAUGACAUACAAGUCAGGAUAACAGGGCAGAGCUCCUGUCAGGGAGACAAUGAUAAAUGUGGAGCCUGGGACAGAAAGGUCCACUAAACAGAAAUCUGUAUAUGACACGUUGUACAUUUGAUAGACUCAUCUGCAUCGUCUGACUAAUCCACAAAGCAUUUCUCUUUGCUCGAAUUAUGGCCCUCAAGCACAUCUUGUACGAUCACCAAGUUCAUGUUUGUUCUCCCCUUUUCCUAUGGCAGCAAAGAUCAAUUCCCCUUAAUCAGUGCAACAUGCGAGGCUAAAAACAGUGGGGGAAAAUGUCCUCAUACAAAUAUAAUUGAUACUUAUUUCAGGCUAAUCAUCGUACAAUAUGAAAUAAAAAGCAGUCAGACCUUAUUUAUAAUUGCUGCUGUCUCAGAAAAGAAAUCUUCCUUUUAAAAAGAUGCCCAGCAUGUCUGUUCACAGAAAGGUCCGUUUAAGAGAAAACAAAAUCCCCAACUACUUCUUCUGUGUGAAUGAGACAGAAUGUCUGUGAUUCAUGUGUUAAGCUUCAUACAUCCCAUGCCCCAAGCACCGUGACCCGCUCUUCUCAAAUGUCCUCACAUCAAAAAGGAAGACAGAGGAGAGGAGGCAGCCAUAAAAGGCAUUCACAUCCACGAGAAGCAAUUUUAACAGUUCACAAAGGAAAAAUUCCAAGAAUAUGCUCAUGUAACAUUCACUGAACCCUCUUAGCAGAUGACUAAGCCUCACGCUUUCAAUAGGAGGAACGUGCAUGAAGGGAUAAGUGUGAUAUCAGGAGGUAAGAACACAAAGGAAGAUUGAGUGAAAGUAAUUCAGCAAGAUUGGCGGAAGAUUGGACGCUGAUGGUCAGUCCCCUCCGGAUUCCUUUAAGCACACAGACAUUUCUACAGCACGUGUUAUGGGCCCGACAGGCGUGUGGGGCUGCCAGGAUCCAGGUGGGACCACUUUCUCCAUUACAGCAGGUUAGGAGUGUAUUCAUCUCAUAGCAUACCUGCCAGACUCACUAUGUGCUGACAGCAAAAGGUGAGUCACAGGUGUAACACUGAAACCCACAUUUCCAAACUAUCCUGCUUUAAAUCUACAAGAGACAAAGAAAGGCAACACAUCGAGCCCUCCCUGUCUGCUGUCAGCACAGCAAGCCUACGAUCCGCAGAGUGAACUCUGGCUCUGCUGUGUGCUGUGUCCUUUGCCUGUGGACCUCCUGUGUCCCACAUAAACCAGAAGCAAUGAGAGUAAGGAGGGCACUUGUUCUUAGUACCGUUUUUCUCCUUGUUGCAGUUCUUGCAGGGGGAAGGGCUGUUUACUCACCUGUGUUUGCACAUGUAUUCUGGCUGCUCUUCAUCCUGUCAGCAAGCAGCAAGGGCCCGUAUAUUCACAAAAAGGUCAGCAAAAUACCCCAGCAGAUGGAUGGGGCCCCCUUCAAACCAUCCAUUGCCAUAACGUGGUGCCUUGAUGCCGUAGCUAAAAGUGAUUCGGUCGAAACAAACUGAUCUGGGGAGGAAAGAGGGAGAAGGGAGGAGGACAGCAUGCUGUUCCCCACAUGCUGCUUUCUGUCUUAACUUGUUACCUUUUGUAAUGCAAGUAACUGCAUCUUCAUGUGGAAUUCUUCUGCCAGGCCCUGAAAUCAAACAGUGUAUUAAGAUAGCAGCCCUCACCAUCAGGGCUUGGAAAGUAUGUUUAUUACACAUUUCUUCCAUUAAAAUCCAUUUCUACAACUGAAUUUGAAUAUUGAUUUCAGGGUACAAGUUCAAUUAGAAUGCAUAAAAAAUGCUCUGCCUUUUCCUUUCUUUCACUAUUGCAAUUACCUUUCUUGAUAUGAACAUAGGAAAGCUUUACUAAAAUGUGAGCUGUUUGUUAUGUAUACCUGUUUUUUUUCCUUUACUCCUGUAGUUUUUCAACAAAGAAAGGAAGAACUGAUAUAAACUCCGGGGGGAUUUUUUGAAGUCUAUUCAAUAGUAAUGUAAAAUGCAAAUUAAAUAUUUGUUCAAUGUUUAGUCGUUCCUCAGAGACUAAAUGAAGUUCUUCAUCACGACCUCUAUGCCGACCUUCGCAUCAAAUUAGGAAGUUUUGGUGUUUAGGUAGAACCACGCACGUUGUCCCUGGAAGCAACUGGAAAGAAGAAAUGAAUAUUUCACAGCAACUGCAAUUUGUUCCAGGGAUCUGUAUUCAUUUUGUGCCAUAUCUGCUCACCGAAGACUACAAUUUACCUUUUUAGAAUUUCAUUUAAUGAUCUGACAUUUGCGACACUUCCUAAUUAAUUCUGUCUCUGCCUAAGCCAGCUGUGAUAAAUAUAACCUGUGCAUACAGGAUUACAUUGUUGCAUUUAGAAAAUACAUCAGAGAAGAAAGGUGAAUCUUCCAUGAUAGGAAGUUCACAUCAGCUGUACCAUAAACUAUGCAGCUCUUGCUGUUAACCUGAAAUAGCCAGCAUGCUAAAUAGUGUGAAGCGCUGUGCCACAUGGGUCGGUAAAAGCCUGUUUACUUCUUCAGGGAACAAUUUUAAUGGCAAAAACUGUUUUUCAGCACGUGCAAGCAGUUGUUUCUGAGCUUGGCACUUGUAGGAUGCUUGCUUACAAGGAGCUCAGUGCCCAGAGUAGUUCUCAUCUCAGACAUGUUCACACAGAAGCGGUCAGCGUGAGGAGAUUCAGCAGGCAGGCAGUGUGUGCAAUGCCCUCGUAACACAGGGGGAACCUCAGGCUGUGUCCCAUUGCUGGGCUAACUGGGGGACACUGGUUCUAAAUGUCAUGGUGUGAAAACAGUCUGCAGCAGUUCAGUUUCACGUGCCACAAGAUGUGCUUUUCCAUCAAGGAGCAAAAAUCUAUAGAAUAAGACUGUGACAGAUCUUGAGCUGCUCAUUGUUUUCUGUGUAACAGAUCAAGCUGUAGAGCAAAUAGUAAUUGUAAAAAAACUGGAAUAAGUAUGAGUUCUAAAUUACUGUUUCUAUGGUGACUUUAAUAAAUAUUCUUUGGAAGAUAAAUUUAGAUACCGAGGAACAUAAAUGCUUCCUGCCUUCUGUUCCAGACAAAAAUAGAAUCCUCUCUGCACCGCGAUACGUUUCAGACACAUUUGGCAUCUCUUCCCCAGAUUGACACUUUUUCUGGGUGAUUUAUCUUUUCACAGGAAGUAGAGGAUGGGCUGUAAAUAUUAGUUGAUGUAGUCUGGAAGAAAUUGUGAUUUGGCAAGAGGUGGCUUGUAAUAACAGAAGUAGUCCUGAUACAGAAAAGGAAAAUACUGCAGCUGCAAAUUGGACUUGCCGAAUGCCGGGCCGAAGUAAUACAAAAAGCAUUUUUCCUUUCUUUCUUUUCCUCCUGUGUGUGCAGAACUAAUGACUCGAGGUAAAGCUAGAGCUUUCAUUUUUAACCAGAAAUAAUUGUUAACCAGAAAAAUAACUGCCUCCGGCUGGAGUCUUCCAUUUGAGAGGCAGCAGGAGCGAGCGGGGCUGGGAGCUCUCCUGCAGGUCGCGCUGGGUUUGGUUUCGUAGCGGAGGUGUCCCUCCAGUGGCUUGUCAAAAAAAUGCAGCGUUAGAGGAGAAGUAUUUUAUAUCACAACAUGAAAUGAGGUGUUCUCACGUCUCCCAGUGCUAACGACCCCUUAUUACCUUAGAAACAACGUCAGUAUCGGGUGGGAGAAUUAGGCUGAGAUGAGUUCAGUUCAUCCGAUGAACAAGAAGCAUGGGCCAUGUUCUCUUCAAUGGAAAAGAAGAAUGAAAGCGGAGAUCCACCUUUAUUUAUCAUGUCAUGUAUUUACAUCAUCUCAAUUGUCAGUAACAAACCCAUGAGAAUACGUUUCUUAUCCCGAAGUUUAUAAUCAAAGGAAAAAAAAAAUAGGAAAUAUGGUAAAUAAUGAAAAAAAAGUAUAUUAUUCAUUAUUAUAUAUACGUAGUCUGCGUAAUAUCAAAGCUGGCUUCUUCUUAAGUCUUACUGCAAAAGAGAAUUGAAAUAAGAGCUUGGAAGGCUGGUAACAAUGGAGCUUGGCAGCUGUUUGCAGGAUGGCUCUCCCAAGCCUGAGGGCCUGAUGGAAGAAUGUAUUAUGGGCGUUUGUUGAAAAAAUGAACAGGUGGGUGAUGGCACUCUGGCACAGAGUAACCACCUCGAGAGACAGCCAAAGCUGGUGUGAAAGGUAGGGAACCAGCCAAGGUGGGCCCUGAGAGGCUGUGUUCAGUGUAAUUGAGAAGUGGUCAGUGGUGGCCUUGCAAAAAGAAAGGUGAGUGGUGACCCAGGCUUCAGAAUGAGCUGUGGUGUCCUUGGCUAGUAGCAGAGUGAAAGAAAAGGACCUGCAGUGAUCCAGGAAUGAAACAUGGAUAUCUGGAGGAGAGCUUUUUUUUGUGUGUGUGUUGAUGGGACGUGUUGGCUGUUGGAGAAGUCAGCAGUCAAGAACUACUGACUACUGGCUACAUCUCAGUCAGGUUGAGAGCCUGGAUGACCCAGAAUUGGUCAUGAUUCCUUGAUUAGGGAAGGAUGCAGAAGGACAAGAGUCACUGGGAGGAAGGAUGAAAAAUUCCACCCAAAGUGAUGGCUGCGUACCUACAAAGAUAUGCCAGGGUUUUAGUCCAAAUGGGAAAGGUAGGAUUCAGCUCAUGCUUAGUAUAGCUUUCUGCCAGGGUAACAGGAAUCAGAGCAUAAGUCUCUUUCCUGUUCUCACUGAUUUUCACAGCACUUGAUUUUUUUUUCCCAUUAAAUGUGAAAAUAAAAGUUUUAUAAUCUUCAUUUUAUGGAUGUGAUUUAUUUUGCUGUAGAGCUGCUUAAUUCUCUGCCAUAUCGGGAAUGACAUUUGCCGUGGAUGCCAGCCAAUAAGUUUGUGAAAGUUUUCUGGUUCCCUGGAAACCCUCCCUAACAUCCCACCCUGCCUGAAGUUUAGACAAUGACACAUCUCAGCGUUACAUACUUCCCAUGCUUCAGUUCUGAAAGGAUUUUUCCUUUUUGCAUAUGAAGAUGAUGUGACAUAGCCUAGAUUGGCUUUUGAGACAUUCUUGACAUGCUCGAGAUGCUCCGUGUUUAAGAGAAAUGUUUAUUUUACAGUUCACAGCCAAGGGCAGCUGGCCUGGCUCAGAAUCCAUUGACUGCAUUGGGAAUUGGCUCUGGCUGAUAUUAGCUGCCCUGAGCCCGCCAACACAUACAUGACUGACCAAAAGCAUAAACCUGAGAAUUGGGGGAAUUGUGCUGCCAGCUAAUAAAAAAAUAAAAAUAAAUUAAAGAGAAAAAAAAAAAGAGCUUAUUAGAUAAAACAAAAAGAAUGAUGUUUGGCGUUCAAUUCUAAGAGGAUUUACCUUCACCCAGGCCUUAACUGGUUUAGAGCACUGCUGAAAUGUGGAUCUGGGCCCCAGUCCAGUAUUGCCUGGGAAGAGGAGGCACAAAUCAGUAUUGCUGGAGACCAGGCUCCAGCCUAAGAGACCCAAGCAAAGGAUCAGCAAGCCCCUGUGGCUGCACUUCCACAGUCCAACAGUUGAAAUUGGAAUGCAAGUUGCUCUACUGAAGUUAAAAAAAAAAGAAGUUUAAUAACUAAUAAUAACAUAAUAACGUUCUAAAGGCUCUCUCUACAUGUAGACAAGUCUUGCAGUGUUUCCUGAGGCUAUCAGGGAGACUUCCAGCAGAUUUCCAGAUUUUUUUGCACUGUCUCCUAUUUGCAGAGCAGCUGUUUCCUCCAAAAUAAGUGGGAUUUGCUCCUGCUGGCUUUAUCCCUUUUACACAUAAAAUAACAUGGGUAGAACAAUAACAAACAGAUGUGAUGUAUGAUAUAUCAUAAAAUCUAACAGCGACAUCUCUCUCCAGCCCAGGAGGGUUAUUUAAUUUAUCAGGUUUAACGAGUGUUCAAGCAGUUUAUGACACAUACUGAUUCAUGCAAUCUAAAUGCAGCUAUGUCAUUAAUAUCAUAUAAAUCUUUUUAAGCAAGAAUCUAUUCUUUCACGCCAAAAAGAAUGGUAUCUGUGCUACACCAUGGCCAUGUGCUUCAUCAAAUAAAUUCAAUUGGGAUUAGGCUAGUGAUUUCAAAUAAAAUUAUUCUGUACUAAAAGCAAGUUUAUUAUUUUCUAGUAUUAGUUCUGUUCCUGUGCUCUGUUAGUAGGAGGGUGCUGAAACUGUGCAAAGAGUAAGAAACCCAGCAGACAGAUUGGGCUUCAGGGGUGCUGUAAUUUUAUUCUCCAUUUGUGAAAUCUGUGUGCAGUUGUUAGUAAUAAAGGCCAUACAUAACACCUAUUACAGGAGACAACACAGGACUUAAAUUAAUAAUAUAGUGCAGGGUCAAGGUCAAAGAGCAUUUUGAUAGCUAAAUCAUCAGCGUUGUUUUCAUGUACAUAUAUGUCUCGUCCCCAGCCAUACGUUAUUUUGAAAUAGCCAUCUAUACAUCACUAAUGGACUGAUGAGAGCUUCUGGCAAUGCUCCAAAAGAUGUAAAGUGCAAAUCACAGUUGGGAACUGGCAAAUUUCUAGUUUUAUUUUUAGUUUUUAAAAUACGAAUGGAAUUUCUGGGGGUGAGAAGGAUACCAGUAAAAUAUUUCCCAGGCUUCAGAAUUAUCAUCCUGAAACAAUUCAAGUAAUGCUUUACAGAUCUGCAAAAUCCCAGUCAAGAAAUUUUAAAACAGAAAAACUAGGCAAGGUAGGGAUGAUGGUCACUUUCCUUACAAUAUAAAUUGAUACUCACAUGUUUAUUUUGAAAGCUUAUCUUAAUCAUAAUAAAAUGUUUGAAGCUAAGUGUAUAAAGUCAUAAAGAUAUGGAACCCACUUUAAAUGAUACUGAGCAGUGAAUGGUUACUACAGCUAGCCUUGAUACAGCCACGUGUACAUCAGCAGCAUCCUUGAGUACAAUUUGAUAAUAUAGUAGUCCUCUACUGAGGCAAUUUUAUUUAGAAGUUGUGAUGCAAAUUUAAACUAUAUUGAAAUCUUAACUUCAGAAUAAAUUACCCAUUUUAACUUGGGCAGAUCACUUAGGAUUAGAUUUUCAAGCAGAACAUGGUCACUCGAGUGCUUAAGAAGAGCACUGUCACCUGUCAGCCACCUCAAGGCUUGGUGUCAAGAGAAGGUAAGCUGGCCUCACAAAGUGUUGUAGGGGAGGGGGUUGAGAAAGCCUAGCUCUAUAGGAAGCUGUCCUAUGGGGAGAACUCCUUAUUAAAGGUAGGCAUGGAGAUCAUCUCCAUGUGACACCUAGAAGGCAAAGGUACUGCUGUAGGCAGACAGAGCCCAUCGCACAGUGCUCACAGCUCCCAAAGGCUGGAGGGGCCUUGCUCAGCAUGUGUGGCGUUGGCUAUAUUGUAGAGCUGAAGCUUUUCUACACCGCGUGAAAUCCUUAAAUUGCUCUUUUAAAGAUGACUGGUUAUUAUCCUGAGCUGCUGCCCAUGGAGCAAUUCCUAAAGGGUGUUACAGAGCCAUGCUGGAGCAGCUCCUGAAGGAUGGGCCCCAUGGAGUGGACCCAUGUUGGAGCAGUGCUUAAAGAAGGAGCCUGUGGGAAUCCCACCUAGGAUCAGUUGGGGAAGGACAGCAUCCUGUGGGAGGGACAGGGGAAGAGAGGCGAUCGUGGAAGAACGGCAGUGAUGAAGUGUUUGAGACUGACCGCAGUCCCAUUUCCCUGCACCACCUGGGAAGAGGAGGUAGAAGAGGGUGGAUGAAGGGAUGGUGUUUGUAGACUGGGCAGGAAGGCUUUCAGCUUUGGCGUCAGAAUUGCUAUUCUAUCUCUUCGUUUUAAGCCCACAGAAAGGAGAUUACACUUUUUCCCCAGCUGUUGAUAGAGUGGCAAGGAAAAAAAUUCUAGAAGUGGCAAGGGCAUUAUAACUAAAAGCUGGAUAAAUAGAGACAAUUUACCUCAAUGGUUCUGAAUCUAAGGCUGAAACAGAGCAGGAAAAUUUUGUCUGUCUAGAAUGAAUGACUUUGAGAAGAGUGAAAAGCCUAGAAGCAGACUCCAAAUUAAAACUAUAUUUUUCUCUCUUCAGAGGAAAACUGGUUAAAACACAAAGCAGAGGGUAGGAGUGGGGCUGAAUCGCGGUGUGACAAGGAAGGACCAGGCACUGAACACACCCCGCACCAGCAAGUCUGAAGACACACGUACCCAGUUAUACUGCCCUAACAUGCUUUACUACAACUCAAUCACCAGAGCCUCAUAAUAGAAUCAUAGAAUCACUGAGAUUGGAAAGACCUCUGAGAUCAUCAAGUCCAACCGUCCACCUACCACCAAUAUUGCCCACUAAGCCCCUCAGUACCAAUUUUACAGGCAUUUCUUGGACACCUCGAGGGACAGUGACUCCAUUACCUCCCUGGGCAGCCUGUUCCAGUGCUUGACCACUGGAGAAGUUGCUGUUUUUUCCUAAUAUCCAACUUGAAACUCCAUGGCAGGAAAUACUAUAAAGAAAGGGAUGCACCAAAUGGAGGUGAGCCUCUGAAAGCUGUCAUCAUCCCAAUCUGUAAAGCUGUAGGAAUGAAGAAGAGAGCUGGAGCCGAGAGGAGAUGGGGAGUGAAAGGACCUUACAGAAGGAGAGGCUGAGAGCAACGAGGUCCCUUAUAACAGUGCUGGGAAUCAUACAGAGGUGACAUAAUUAAGCCACUCCUCGUGAUGCUUUGAGUCAACCAUACGCUUCAGGAAAGAUGCAGUUUGAAAAGAUGAAGGUGUGAGGAAUGAGGAAAAAGAAAGAAAAAGGAUUUUUAAUAAAGAAUCAUCCAUUUGUAGUCCAUUCACAAUUUGCCAAAUCUCUGCUGCUCAUACCCAGAGCAGUGCUGUCCUACAGCAGUGGGCAGGCGGCUUGGUAGGCACGUGUGGCACUCGUAGCAUGGAGCUGCUCUGCUAGCAGGCUUAUGCCACACUGUCACGGCACAGCUUGUGCUAAUGUGAGUGUGCUCAGAGCACGCCUGGUAUUUUUGGAAGCCUGAGGCAGACUCAAAAUAGCUGAGUGCUGAUGUGUCUGGGAUUAGGAGACUGGACUCAUGGUAGCAGGCCAUGCAGCCCCAAGGAGCUGCUGUCAGUGUUCUACCCAUGCCCCACUGUCAGUACAAUCUGCUUGGUAGUCUCAUAAACUAAGCCAGAGGCAAAAUACACGCUCUGUGGAGUCAAACAACCAGCCUUGAGUAUCUGUGGGAGGCCUGGCCAUUCCAGCUCCUCAUUUUGCUAUGAGUGGUCCUCCAGACAUCCUUCACAGCAGCCAUUUUGUCACCACUCACAUCCUUCCCUUUCUCCAGCCAGGCCAGCUCACCUCCAAAUCCAGCAGCGUGCUGCAUUGGUCUUUACAGAUUUAAAUCCUUCACACUGCCUUGGGGCCAGUUUUAUAAUUGUGAAAGCUGACAGACCUAGAAGGAGGACGUAGGCAUUGGUCCCAUUGCAAAGACAUUACCCUUAGGGCCUGUAUUCAAUUUUUUUUUGCUUCCAAUCUUUUCCACAAUUGGAAAUGAAAAGAAAAAAAAAAAAUAACCCUUUUUCUGUUGAAGUUGCUGGAAAAAUCCAGUCCAUGUAUGCUUUGAUAGGAGACAGUCUAAUCCUCUUCUUGCUUGAGUGGUCUCUCCAAUUUCUGCCGUGGAGCUGACAAGUCCCCUUGGGUUUAUGGUGAGGGAUUUUUUUAGACGAUGACUCUUUUUUUUUUUUUUUUUUUGCUCUGUUGAUUUUACCUCAGGGGAAAUCACUGAGAAUUUUUUUCCACAAGAAAUAGCUUCUCCUUAUUUAUUUAGAUAAGCUUUCUAAUUCCAUUAAAGGUAGCUGUUUUGGGGGCCUUUUAAAAUGUUCCUUCAUUUGCUCUGAAUUCUUGAGAUCUUGCAGCAUCUCCUUACACUAGUUGGUUGGGCCAGUCAGGGUUACAUUAGGCCUGUCUAGCAAGUGGGGUGAUAUAUUUAAGGCCCUUGCAGGGGACAGUUACAGGUCUGUUCUGGUUCAGCAGAGCUGAAGGGAAGCCAGAAGAGAAUGGGUGACAUUGCUUCUGCAUUAAACCAUGCCCCAGAAAUGUGAGUACCUGCAAUUGGCCGGUUACAAAUGCAGAAGAUAAAUAAUUGAAGGAGUUGAAUAACAUUCCUGUGAUGGAUGUGCAAUUUUUUUUCUCUAAAACAGGAAUAUUUAUUCCUAUAGCCCUGCUCUAUGUCACAUUCAGGAGUCACAGACACAGCACAGGAACAGCUGGAUAAAGAUUUAGAAGCUGAAUAAUGCCAAAGGCAGAAGUGUGUUGCCAUAGCAGUUCCUCCAAACACCAUUUAAACCGUUUGGUUUUGUUUUCUCUUGACAAAUAUGGGAUAAACUAAUUACAUUGCUUUUUCAGAUAGGAAGUGAAAUAAAACCCCUUAUCUCUGGGAAAGCCCUCAGAUAUGACUGUAAUUGUACAAAUACUUGCACUGCAAAUACCAUUAGGGCAAGCAAUGAGAGCAGAAGGGUGGAGCGCAGCACUCGGCAGAUCUCCCCAUCUCCACUUCUGGUGCCUCUAGAUUUCAGGGAGAAGCAGAAGUGUGUUAUCUCAGUACUGGGAGGAAGGGAGAGUGCACUGUGGGGCUGAAUUCAAUUUUUAUAAGCUACGAGAUUGUUUAAUCUUGCUCUAUGUUAUUUCUCUGUGUGCUCUCUUUAUGAAAUGGCACAAUUGAGGUGCUGCUCUGAAGAAUUAAUGAGCUAAAUGGACUGAAUGAAGUGCAAAAGAAAGGGAUUAAUUUGCCUUAUUUUAUACACAGGGACCCAAAUGAACAGCUGGUUGGUAACCAUUUUAGGACUGACUAAAGAAUACAAGAACAGAUUCAAGAACUACGUGCAGAUCCCCCAAGUCCCAGGCUGCUCAUUUAACCAUGAAAGCCUUCUUCUGAAGAACAGUUAGGCUUGCAGUGUGGCCAUGAAUCACACAUCAAACUGCCCCGAGUAAUAUAAUAUGCAAUGCCCAAAGCUAGGAAUUGGAGAAAACCAAAUGGGCUCUCAAGAAGAAAUUGUAACAGACUUUUACAAAGUAGAUAAAUAUCAGGCUAAUGAGCUGGGAAAUUCAGCUGUAUCAAAAAUGAGGAAACUUACAAUACAUAAAGAUCUUGGCUGAUGCCUAAUAAAGUUUAAAAGGCUGUUUAAGAACAGCCUCAACCUGACCUAUACAGUAAGGAACAUGCCACCCUCUUCCUAAGGGAAAGCAGAGUGUUGCUUUACUUACGAAGUCAGGAACCUGACAGGAGUACAUUAAGUACAGUGGAGCAAGGCUCUUUCUAGAAACAGAAAUGAUAUGAAAUGAUGGGGGUUUACUGUGUGAGUAUCUGAGCUAAUCAGUAAAGUGCUCCAUGUUUGGAGCAGUACAAAUUAGUUGGCAAGGACUGCUUAAAGGUAAUGUGAGUAGAUGGGAUUUUUUAACCAUUGCACUGGGAAGGAUACAUCAUGAUGUAAUUCACUGAAUAUCAACAUCUACUAGGGCAAAUAACACAGCAAAAUCUAGGGCUAGAUUAAUGUUUGGUUAGUUGCAUUCAGAAAGGCAUUGUGCACUCCAAAAGGAAUAGGAAAGCCAUUUCAGGAUCUUUCAUAUAAGGUACAUCCUAGUAAUUUCAUCAUUAUGGUAAUUUCAUCAAAUUAUGGCCCAGUUCUGUGGGAGCAACGUAUUAUUUCUAUUAUUUGGAAAUUCUGUUUCUAGGCAAAAUAAAAUAUCCUUUAAGAGUGAGAUUCAGUGAUAUACAUGGUACUAACUUAUUUAUGAUAAAUAUAUGAAGCAAUAAAUGAGUCCAGAGUUUUACCUCAGUCUGCGUUCACAGAACUGCAGGGGUUGGAAAGGGCCUCCAGAGAUCAUUGAGCCCAACCCCAUUGCUGCAGGGGCUUCCUUACAGUAGGUCACACAGGCUGGUGUCCAGAUGGAUCUUCUCCAAAGAGACUCCAAAACCUCUCUGGGCAGCCUGUUCCUGUGCUCUGUCACCCUCACUGUAAAGAAGCUCUUCCACAUGUUUGUGUGGAACUUCCUACGGUCCGAUUUUUGGCCAUUACUCCUUUGCCAUAUCGCUGUGCUCCAUGGAAGAAUUCAGCCUCAUCCUGCGCUUCAGAUAUUUAUAAACACUGAUCAGAUUCCGUCUCAGUUUUCUCUUCUCUAGACUGAACAGCCCCAGGUCUCUCAGUCUUUCCUCACAGGGGAGAUGCUCCAGGCCCUUUAUCAUCCUUGUUGCCAUCUGCUGGACUCUUUCUAGGAGAUCUCUGUCUUUUUUGAACUGAGGAGUCCAGAACUGGAUGCAGUGUUCCAGAUGUGGCUUCACCAGGCAGAGCAGAGGGGCAGGAUCACCUCCCUCAGCCUGCUGACCACUUUUCUUCUAUGCAGCCCAGGAUAUGGCUGGCUUUCUGCACUGCGAGGGCACACUGCUGGCUCAUGUCCAGCUGCCAUCCACCAGUGCCCCCAGAUCCUUUUCAGCAGGGCUGUGCUCUAUCCUUACACUUACCAGCUGGUACUUUUAGCAGGGCUUGCAACCCAGGUGCAAGACUUGGCAUCUGGAUUUGUUGAACUUCAUGAAGUUCACCUGGGCUCACUGCUCAGCCUGUCCAGGCCUCUCUGGAUGGCAUCCCAUCCCUCGGUGUGUUGACUGCACCACACAUCAGGGCCUCCUUAAUCCCUUUGCCUAUGAGAGGCACAAAAAGAGGACUCAGCCCGCAGUUAAGCUGCUUAUUUACUACAGAAAGAAAAGUAGGAACAGCUUCAUAGAAAGACAGCUCUAGGUAAUGUCUUGCACAGCUAUUGGGCAAAGCAGCUCUGCUUCCCUGCAGUUAAAUUGGUCUGUGUUUUUCCUUUCUGUCAGUAUUGUGGAAAUUAACAAGUCCUCAGCGCUGGCCAUCAUCUCCCAGUGAGUGCGGGGAGGUGAGAGCAGGUGCUCAAUGGUGUUCCCCCUUCCUCUUCCUCCUUCCUCCAGCUCCUCUAUUCCCCAUGCUGCAUCCUUCCCUGCCAGCACAGCUUCACACCUGCUCGACCAUGUUCGAACUUUAAAAACAGAUGUUUUCUUGAUCAUCACCUUCAGAAAAAAUUCUUAAUAAAAGUGGAUAUUAAUACAUAUAUAUUUAAAUAACUCAGCAGCACUGAAUAAACAGCCUUCACACUCCAAAGGUAAAGGCAUUAUUUCAUGAAAGCAAGCACUCUGACUGCAAGACACAGACCGCUAUCGAUUGCCAGUCUCAUAAAUCACAUUUAUUUUCCAAAUAAUAGGAAGAUUCAUUGUUUUCUGCCAAGCAAUGUCACCUGGUAAUAGGAGUCAGUCAAAGCAACAGUAAUUUUCACACCAUAAAAACAGUAUCAAGUCUGUUCAUUGAGUAGGAUGAAUGCUAUUGAUCAGGGGGGAAAUAAAUAAAUAAAACGGGAGACAAAAGUAAAGAAAUUAAGUGGUGAUGUAUAGAUGUGCAAUGAAAAGUCUGUUAACAUUUCCAUUAUUCAGCUUCCCUCCACAAGACCAACUGUAACAUAAAAAGCAGCGGAAAUGUCCCACCCUGGCUGCAGCUUAUCAACAUGAAAACAGCCCCAGAGCGUUCAACUGAAUUGGCUUUCUCUGCUGCACAGAGACACGGGGCUGAGGGAGUGGGGCUGCAGAGGAGUCACCACCAGGGGAAAGCACAGAGCGAUGGGGCCACAGCCACUGCUGGGGUUCACUCACAUGCACAAUAAAUGGUGCUGCGAGAGAAGUUGAACGUACAAAUUCCUAAGGUCAGAAUUCACCCAAACACACACUAAAAACAAGCAAACAAAAAUCCUGAAGGACCCUGUUUGCUGCUUUUUUAUGACUGCAGUGUUUUAAUCCAGUGCUAGUAGUGCAGCCAGCAGUAAUGGGAAAGAAAAGCCAGUUCAGGAAGCCCUAUGAGCUCAUCUGCCUGUCUCUGGGCACCUUUGGAUUAAAUUGAAAAGCAUGAAGCCAGUCUCUCAAUUCUUGAAUGUCAUAGAACAGAAUCUUAGAAUGAUUAUAGUUGGAAAAGACCUCUAAGAUCAUCUAGUCCAACCAUGCACCUACCACCAAUAUUGCCUGCUAAACCAUAUCCCUAAGUACCACAUCUAUACACUUCCACAUUAUUCCUUCGUACUGUUAGCUCUUUGACAGCAACAGGUGAUGGUAUCACUGUUGAAGUCAGCAGAAAGUAGCCCUAAAAUAAAAGCAUGUCUCCUCGGCUUGGAGAACCACUCUUGACCUGAUGACUCCAGUUUUAAAUUGACCCGUGGCAACAACAGGCUGAUGACUGCUCUGGGUGGAAAAUAGGUUCUGAAGCAACUCAUUAUUAGCAACUUUAACAAAACAUUGCUACACCACGGACCUAAACCUAACAGCUAACUAGCCUAGGAAAAACUUAGUAAUCUCUGCAUGAACCAGUGUCGUUUCAUAAUUGUUCUGGUAGAAACAUCUUUAGCUCUUCAGCUUUCUCAGCUGACACAUCACAAUAAAACAUGAUAUGAGGUGACUCACUGCCAUCGUGUUCUAUCACAUCCCAUCACCUAAUGCAACCUGAGACUUGCAUUACACACUAGCUGAAUAAUAUUUUCCUAAGCAUUCAUGAUAGAAAAAUCUGUGUUUCCAAGGGAAGACAGUGCGUUGAUUAAAAAAUUGCCACCAGUGCACCUGAAUUCUGCUGAGAAAGAAGAGAUGUUGGGCUCAGGUACACACAAAAAUGCUCCUGCUGACCACAGCAGGGCCGUUACAGGAGCAGAGGCACUGCAAGCAGAAAUCCUGUUGCUCAGCUUGUGUCUUGCCUGGUUGGGCAAACAUGAUGGCUGAAUGUGAUGUUCUUAUGGGUCUUUUCCAACCUUCGUCAUUCUAUGAUAAUCAUAAAGUGAAGAGGGAUCUAAAGCAGAGUUGCAGAGCUCUAAAAGCAUGAGAGAUUCUGAUACAAGCUUUUGGGGGUUGGAUCCAGCUAGGCAAUGGGCCAGCACUGACUUUGCACUUUAACAAUCAUUUGAUCUCCUGCACCCUCCCAUCUCUGCAAAUCCUCCCCUACCAUCAAUGAUAUUUCCUCAUGACUAACUGCCCAGCUGAUUAAGAUUUCCCAGAUGAAACUGGUGACCCUAAAACCCAGUGAGUGAAUGCUUGAAUGCAGCCUUCCCUGAACAAAAUGUGCUGAGAAUAGGGAUGAUCUCAGCCCUGAUUUCCACAUCUGGGAAAUACCAUCUGGAUAGGGGACAAAAUGAGUUUGAAAGGGGAAAAGCUGUGCGACAUGCAGUGCUGCAGAAAUCAGGGAUAUGCACACCAUCAGCCACUAGGGACUGCUAGAUGACAUGGGUGGGAAGGAAGGGGAAGGAAGGGGAAGGUGUGAGAAAGAGGAACUCUUUACCCAGAGAGCGGUGAGGCCCUGGCACAGCUGCACAAAGAGCUGUGGGUGUCCCAUCCCUGGAGGUGCUCAAGGCCAGGUUGGAUGGGGCCCUGGGCAGCCUGAGCUGGUGGGUGGCAACCAGCCUAUGGCAGGGGGUUAGAACUAUAUGAUCUUUAAGGUCCCUUCCAACCCAAGCCAUUCUAUAGUUCUAUGACCAAGCACUGGGGAUACCAGCAUGGCAAUGAGCUCACAUUGAGCUUAAUGGGAAAAUCAGGCGUAGUGUGGAAAAGGUGAAUGAGAAUGUGGUGUUCCAGGUCUCUUCUAAGGAAAGGAUGGAGGAAGGGAGAAAGCCAAAGGGAGAGGUUUAAAACAAAUGCAAUCUCUCUUCUCCCAGCAGAUUCCUUGCCGUAGGACAUUGUGUCCAUUAUGCAAUUUCCUAGGAAAAUGGAAAUCAAUGCAAACAAAAAUUAAACAACAUUUCUAGAUCCAGGAGCCUCUGACAUUGAGUGCCACAGCUGGGAAAAUAUUGCAGUGAAGUGUUAUUACGUGCUCAGCCUGUUCUCAUGCUCUCCUCUAGGCAUCCACCAUUACUCACUAACAAAGGAAGGCCAGUGGGCCAGGGAGGGAACAAGUCAUUUUUGUGGGUGUAAAACAUGACUCACAGUGCUGGGCAGGACCUGGUGCUGGUUACCCACUGACUUGGAUCCAAAAGCAGCGUAGCACAGGUUGUCACAACACUACUGGUACAGCAGGUUGUGGCUUGUAUCUGCUGCAGGAUCGAGUCAUGCACCUUUGGUGCAUGUCCGCUCCAGGUGCUGUGGAAAGUGUCUAUUUAGUGCUCCUCCAUGGCUGUUUGAAGCUCAUUAAUGCUCUGAGUGCUCAGUUAAUUACAGGAGCUUCAACCUUCUCUCAGUCUCACGUAGCAGUAUACAACCAGCAUUGCUCUCUCAGCAUAUUAAAGCAUCCAAGGCUGUCCAAAACCCAGGCAGAAAUAUGUAUUUCUUAAAUUUUAUCUUUAUACAUUACUGAGAUAGGAGACAGAAGUUGGGCCUGGUGAUCCCUAUGGGUCACUUCCAAUACAGGCUAUUCUGUGGUUCUAUGAGAUGUGUUCUCCUACCAGGUGAUCAACCACUCUGUACUGUAAGCUUUCAUCUUAAACUCUUGAAAGCAAAUUCUGUUUUUUAAAUUAAGGAAAUUCUCCCAAGCCUAACUCUUUAAUAUUGGGAUAAUGUAAAAACACUUUCCAUAUCACAACACAUUGCAAGCACUGGCAGCCUACAGGAGAAGUGAGCCACUCUGCAUUGACCAAAGGAUGAGCACUUCCCAAACAAGGGAUGGAAAAAAUGAUGUGAGCUCUGUAAGUAGAAAGGUGCAUGUGCAUGCCAAUGGAAACAACUCUGAGGAGAUGCAAUCAAGCCGUGCAUAGAGGUAUUGUUCCCUCUUUGGGGAUGUUUUAGGAAAUCUGUGAUCACUUCCAGACAGACACAGAGGUGUCUUCCUGAAAUCAAAGUAUUCAGACUCACUAUGAGAACGUGCCUUUAUUUUCCCACGACACUCACUUUUUGGGCUGGCUUUGCAGUGACAACAUGAGGCAUCCUGGAAGAAGGAAGUUCUGAGGUGCUACAGUUCAGGAUAUGCAAAAUAUGUGAGUGAGUAGUCUAUUCCUUGUGACAAGAGCAAUGAGGUAACCUAACCCUGCACAUGGAAGCAUCCCCUCAGAGCAGCUCAGCACUUUGGCAAUGCUUCUCCUGCUGUCAGUAGCUAACAGCUGCUGUCAGAGGGCACCAGCAAAGUACUUAGUAAAUCUGACACUUCCCAAUAACCCACCCAAGCCUUUUCUGCUGCAAAAUCUUGUGGGAAGCCAAAGCACAUGGACACAAGGCAGCUGAAUCUGUUACUGUUUCAAAUAUAAGCAUUUUUUUUAAACCUGAGCAUCUGUAGACCACUCGAAGCUCCCCAAUUUCAAUCAGCAGAGAGGAAAUUUGCUUUGCCUUGCUUAGAGCUCUCAGUGCUACAGGUAGAAAUGGGCAGAGUUCUGCAAAUAGUGAUAAAAAGCCUCUGAAGAUCUGAUUCCAACCCACACACUGGGAAGAGAAGAAUGAAACAUAUUUAAUCAUGCGUGGUGCUACCACUCCCCCUGUCAACAUAAGAAUUAUGGCGAAGGGAGAAAGAUGCUUGACAGGAAAGAUGGAGUGAGAAGGAGAACACUGAAAUACGAGCUAAGUUUGAACAUACAGAGAUGGUGAAGGGCCGGAGGACAAGGUGGACGACGAGCACUGAGGCCCCUGGGUUUGCUGGGCACAGAGCAGUGGAGCUGAGGGGAGGGCUCAUGGCCAUACAGCUCCUCACAGGGAGUGGGGGGCAGCACUGAGCUGUGCUCUCUGCAGCAACAACAGGGCCUGAGGCAAUGCAUUUUUUUCAGGGUACCUGAUUUCUUUCCAGAAGGAGCAUCUUCGAGGUGUGUUAUAUCAGUGACCACAUACAUGAACCAUGAGAUGGCUCUGAAAUGUAGGGAAGAAGCAGCUAAGCCAACAUAGAAAGCUGGGGUUGUCUUACCUUUAGGAGUGGUGCUUCCAGGUCUGAAGGCUGCCCCGGUACGAUCGUGGUCUGGGCAAACAACUUGAAAGCACAUUUUUAUCAGUUUGACACCUAUUCUCCCCGAGAUCAUUAAAGAUCAAAGUCUUGCCAAACCACAGUUCAAAGAGCAGGCUGUGCACAUCUCUAAAAGGUGUGGAAAAGAAACCCUGAAUUUAAACCAUUUUCAUAGCAGCAGGAGCAAGAACUUUUAUCUCUCGCUGCUUUGCUUGUUUGUGAUUGUGUCCUCCACCUGAAGGAAGAUAAGACUGUUUUGUUUUCAGUGUAUCAUCUUAAUUAUGCUGUUUCUCGGCUCACUGUGUAUUCUUCACCCGUAUCAUUUAACUUUCUCAUGGGAUACUAAAAGGGAUUGAAAACACCCUGUGUCUCUGAGCCCCAGCGUCUGCUCUGUAGCAAAUCCUUUUGCAACACAUUUUAUACAUUGCACCAGGUCUGUUUCUAUCCUCAGCUCUUCCAUGCGAGUGUUGUUGGAUGGUCAGGAAAUCUUUGCCUACCUUUCAUAAUCCAUUUAUUCACACAUCACUCGUGGGCCAAUGCUAUCAGUGGUGUCAUCUCACAGCCACCUGCAUUUUCUAGCCCAGACAAUACUUAAAGUAACUGUACCACCACGCGGCCUUCAGCUUUGGCAGAGGGAUGCAAAGCCCUCAUAUAUGUGCCUGCUCAGACCCAGACCUGUGUCCGAGUUGCCCUACAACCCAGCAUGUUGGAAAACCCAAGCUGGUAACGCUGCUCUAUGGCACUCUGUUGCCUUUCAGUUAAUAUCCAGAAAUAACCAGGCUGAAGGAAUCAUGGCCCUGGGCCCAUGUUUCUUAAUUUCUGGGCAAGCUUGGGCAGAUUUUAGGUAGUUAUAAGGAAGAUGGUGCCCAUAAUUCCCUCCUCUGGGGAUACUGUGUUUCCCAGGAGUUUCUCUCUACACCUUCUGUGAUAAGGAUGCUCUCAAAGCAACGGCAUCCAGAGGUUGGGCAGCCAUUAAUGGGGAGACCUACACUUCACUAAGGACUCAGGCUUCCUAACCAACUUCCUAUCAACAACCUGUAGGUCUCAUAGCUAAGUAAAGCUCAGUCCUCGUUCAAGCCUAAUGCAGUCAUAGGAGUCAGGCAUACAUUUACGUACCUAAAUCCCAGUCUGCUCCAACUCUUCCAGACACAUUCUUGAUCCAAAGCCAUGCUGUUCUGUGAUACAAGGCUGCUCACAGCAUGGGGACAACGUGAGGAGACAGCCCUAGGUUGGUGUCACUCUCCCUUUCUCAUCCCUCCUGCUUUUCCACAACAUGCACCAUUUUCCUCAGAAAAAAAAGCACUCUGACAGCUUAAAAUUGACAUACCUGUUGGUGGGGACUCCUCCCAAAAUGCAGAAUGAGAUUUAAAUGGGAUGCAAUUCAAAGUGCUGUGUACUAUUCAGUAUGACCCUCAUACAGCUAACAUGCAAGCUCCAUUUGAUGCAUAUGGUACUAUGGCAAUGUAUCAAGGAUAAACCCUAGCUCUCCAGUAUCAGCCAUUUGACAUGGGGUCUGUAUCAAAUCGCUCAUGGAUUCAACAAGAGCCAUCAUGGGGGUGAGGCUGUGGGUA